rnacentral:rRNA from 1 species
CCUACGGGAGGCUGCAGUGGGGAAUAUUGCACAAUGGGGGGAACCCUGAUGCAGCGACGCCGCGUGAGUGAAGAAGUAUCUCGGUAUGUAAAGCUCUAUCAGCAGGGAAGAAGAUGACGGUACCUGACUAAGAAGCCCCGGCUAACUACGUGCCAGCAGCCGCGGUAAUACGUAGGGGGCAAGCGUUAUCCGGAUUUACUGGGUGUAAAGGGGGCGUAGACGGCGGGGCAAGUCUGGAGUGAAAGCCCGGGGCCCAACCCCGGGACUGCUUUGGAAACUGCCAGGCUAGAGUGCUGGAGGGGUAAGCGGAAUUCCUGGUGUAGCGGUGAAAUGCGUAGAUAUGAGGAGGAACACCAGUGGCGAAGGCGGCUUACUGGACAGUAACUGACGUUGAGGCUCGAAAGCGUGGGGAGCAAACAGGAUUAGAUACCCGGGUAGUC